UCAUGAGACCCAACUGUGGGUGACCUGACAUUGCAUCAGAAGGUCAGUAUUUUGAGACCACUCAUCGUCCACCCUACCUCCACCUGACAUUGCAUCAUGUCUGUUCAGUAACAGGAGACCCCCACAGCUCAGUGUGACUGGGAAAUACCCGUCGUCGUUGUAACACCGUAUCAAAGAUUUGUAGUUUUUUAAUUAUAUUUAUUUAACUAAGCUUUUAGAUCAACAAUUCGGGAUUAUUCUAGUAAAGAAAUGGAAUUUCUAACAUAAUUAGAACUGCUUAUACGGACUCCGGUAGUUUAGACUCCCGGAAAUCUUUCCCCAGCACCCAGAAACAUUCUGGGAUGUGGGCUAGUGUCUGUCUGUGUUGUUUAGUCUCUGGGAAACUUUUCCCGGUAACCGAAAAAAAGAAAUCCGAGGACAAGGGAUUUUUCUGUUUGAGAAAGUCGUUUGGACACCGGCAAAUAUCUCGUCCCCGGAAGUUGCUUCCAUCAAAGAAAGUUUAUUUAUUUAUUUAAUUUUUGCAUAAUAUGCAGAACCCCCGACUGAAAUUAGAUUAGGUUAAAUAAGUUUCUUUGGUAAGGUUAGGUUGUGUUGGGUCCUGUUCAUUUUUGUUUCCAUUUUUUGUGUUCAAUAUCAUGCAAAUAGUAUCUCCUCCAAAAAUUUGGGUUCAAUUCCAUGAGUUUUUUUUUGUUCUGGUGCUAACGGUCUCCUUCACCUUUACUCAUUAUAAUGUUUUACAGUGUUGUGUGUUAUUGGUUACAUUUCCAGGAAGCUUGAAGGACCAGCAACACAUCUCGGUAUGACCAGUACAGACUCAACUGUACACACUGUCCAUGUCCAGACCCAUAUAUUAUGACGGCACCAAUGACAACUGAUGAAACACAGCUGACCUGUGGGAGGUGUUUCGCAUAUUAUCCGAGUCAACAGAAGGAGUUCGUCUUUACGAUCAGCUCCUUCCGACCAUCUCCGAGAUGUCAUCCGGAGAGUUGAAGUUUGCUCUUGCCAUCCGGUCUCUUCUCCAGAGUAUCGUCAGAGGUACAAUGAUUUAUAUUAAGAAUAUCUUCAAUAUAAUUAGCCCUAGCAUUUCAAGUGGAUGAAUGUUUAAUUAGUAAGAAUCAUGAUACCACUUAAAAAGUUGUCAAUUUGCUUUAAAAGGGUAUUUGUGGGGGAUAAAUGUAAAGGUGUACAUAUAAAUGCAAAUAUUGAGUGUUUUAUUAUGAGGUACAGCACAGUACAAGCUUUUAGGUAUGAUUUUGUCACCGCUAAAUCUGCAUUACACAUUUUGUAAUCUACUUUUAUUUCCAAAAUCUGGUUAAACUGUCUGGGUUUUUCUCACAGUAGGAGCAGAAAUAGGCACUCCUUGAUUAAUCACGCCUCCAUCACUGUGUCAAGCUCUGCUGACCUGGCUCUGUCGAUGGAAUGUGGCUGUGUACUAUUUACACUUUGGAGGUCACAUUGAAGCAACACUUAGCAAUGAUAGGGAAUUACGCAGUGCAGUAUAUAUUUUAUUUCAAUAUUGUUGCUGCUAGUGAGUUGUACUAAACAAGUAUCCACUAUGUAUUUCAUAACAUUGUAAUUUGUUUUGGCAUUCUCAAUUUUUGUUUCGGAUAUACUGUAUAUAUAGGGAUGCUGUAAUCUAAAAUUAGGUUUUGCAUACAUCAAGAGUACGUUUGUGGCUCCUCACGAGUUGUACUUGCUCAGAAAUAUAUACUGUACAGUAAUGUUAUAUACAGGUUGCACUUAAAAAAAUCCAAACAUCAUUUAUCCCCAAACUGUGAACAUCCAAAAGUGAUCGCAUUGAUUAUAAAAAUUUACCGCGCUGCCAGAUGAUGGCGUUUCAGCACACUAAGCUAAGAUAUCAUCACCGGGGCAUUUUCUCGUAGUCGGUCACUGAGUUACACCCUCCGACUCGCCGUCACCCGCACUUACGAACGGGAUCCCAAUACAUUCACCUCAAAAAGUUGUAAUUAAACUGUCAUUAUUUUCAUCAUUGUUUAACAGCACUUUAUGUUAUGUAACCUAAAGUAUGGGUCCAGGAACUUAUCCCUGUUGUAAGUUGCGGACGGCCUGUAUUAUUAUUAACAUUAUAUUUUGAGUUCCUUAGUUUAGUGUGUUUGUUAUACCUGUACAUGCAGUAUUAUAUAUUAGUUUAUAGUUGUCAUAUAUGUAGUAUUUUAUUUGGUGCUUAAUGAAAUAUUAGGGUUUUUAAUAAUGACCUUGAGUUAGCCAACAAGUUCAGUUAUCUGAAACAUUUUGGAUUUUUGAAGUGGAACCUAUAUUUCAACUCCCUCCUCAAAAUAUUAAUGUACUAUAGGAACAGAAAUGGUUGAUUUAAAUUAUUGCUCCAAACUGCACCACACCAUAGUGCCAUCUUUGGCAUAUACAGUAAAUGAACUUUUGUAAACUGUACUGUACAUAUUUAAUGUCACAUGAUGUGACAAUGUUUGUUUGGUCAAGUGAUGUAUAGUGCAUGUCAUUAGUGUAACGGUCGGUGCCAAAUCAUCGUUAUUUGGCGCCAUUCAUUUUUAGAUAUACCUGUAUCUCAUUUAUGAGACAUUGUUUAUCUAAGCCAAGAGUUGUUACGUCUUGCAUAUUUCAUCUCCGUCGUCAGAAAAUGUAACGGCGCGAUGUUGAGCAAUUUGUUGCCAGCCUAUGGAUGAUAGAUAGGAUCUGUACAUAUCAUAUUAAGUCUUCAACACCAGAUAUUUAUUGUCAACUCUAAAUGAAAUAUGUUGUGAAUAAAACUUUUCAAUUUGUGUUACCAAAGUGAGAAUAAAAGAUUGUCUCCGGCCA